rnacentral:lncRNA from 1 species
CUCAUCAGGUCUAUUCCAAGCACCCCGCAGAAUGUCCAAGCACGAACCAUCAGGUCUAGGCCGAGCACCCCAUAGGAGUGUCUUUGGGCAAAAUACCAUCAAGUCUACGCCAGGCACCCCACAUGAAUAUCUUUGGGAACACAACCAUCUGGUCUCUUAAAAAAUCUUCCCAGCGGGAGGGGGGAAGUUUCCCCUCCCACUUGGCCGCUCCGGGACGGUCUCCGUUGGUGCUAUGGCCAUUUACACCAACGUUGUUUUCGGGAGGGGGGAGCCGGGGUCCCCUCCAUACGAAUGGAUCACUUCUCCUUCACGGUCAACGUCCACGUGUCUGACCCUAUUCACGCCAACGUUUUUCCCAAACGCCAAAGAGCCCGAGGACUCCUCAGCGACCCUAGCAGCGCCAAGCACCGGCGUCAUCCGAGGACACCAGAGUUGGCAGCCCCGCCAGGGGGGAGGGAAGAUUUCAAGUUCUCAUCAGGUCUAUUCCAAGCACCCCGCAGAAUGUCCAAGCACGAACCAUCAGGUCUAGGCCGAGCACCCCAUAGGAGUGUCUUUGGGCAAAAUACCAUCAAGUCUACGCCAGGCACCCCACAUGAAUAUCUUUGGGAACACAACCAUCU